rnacentral:lncRNA from 1 species
UGAUUCAAUUGAGUCGUAUAGGAACGCUUUCCUUUAUUACGCUCGAUACUUUGGCCGAAGAUUCCCGAAUCAUAUCCUAGAGUAUUCAUCCUCUCAUAACGAGGAUUAAAGAUCCCUUGUUGAUAAUUCACAUGCCUCUGAGAAUAAAUCACUGACCCCAACAAUGCAUAGAACACACCCAAGAUGAGGUGUGGUCACGUCUCAUUAUUAAAAUGAUCAGCAACGUAUCCCUAAGACAACUAUGAUGUCUCAGGUCAAAUGAUUACUUACAUUAUUCCAACCAUUAGAGUUACUUGCUUGACAUGUGAGUAGACCUCCAUGCAAGUACUCUCGUUCGAUUGUAUUCAAUGAACUCAUUCCCUUAAUGAGCACCUACAUACCUGUCUGAGUGUCACUACACGAAUGGGAUGAGACUUUCCAUCUUUCCAAUUGAAGGGGACAUAGUAUGUACUGGUCUAUGCAUUGUCAGUAUCCCUCUGACAAUCAUAUGACCAAGAACCUUUUUGGACAUGAUGGUUAUGUGAAGAAGGUCUCUGUAACAUCAUUAGAUUACUUCUUCCAUCGAUCCAUUGUCCAUGGAUUCACUAUUUAGGACAUAUAUCGUUUAUUGAUAAUCCUAAUUAGUAUCUUUGCCUUUUGAUGUAUAAGAGUCAUCUAUACACACACAUUCAUUGUCCUGAAAGGUUUCUUCCAAAGAUUGAAUUUCAGGGCAUAUCUCCAAUAGAUUACACCUAAAAACGUCCAACAAUCCAAAUUGAAUAGCCAAUACGUCCAAGGCUGCUCUUUUUUCUUCUUUGUUGCGGCACAAGGUGGCAGUGGUGGUUGAAGUGAUGAAUUAUGGUGAAGGAUGGCUGAAAGUAUAAAUGGUAGUGAAUGGAUAUGUUGAUGGAUGGAGGAUGGGUAGGUGAGUAGAUGGAUCCUUUGAAUGGUGCGGCAAACGGUUUUAUUUAUAGGAGAAUGAAAGGCAUGGCUAGGAAUUAAAUUAGGAAGGGUUUAAUACUACAAAUCCUCCAAGAAAAGGGUAACAAAUCAGAAUCCCAAGAGAAAAGGGUAAGAAGGGCGCGGCAAGGAUAGGAAAUAGGAAAGGUAUUUGCCUUGCAUGGCAAGGGAAAAGGAAAGGGAAAGGUGGUGCGGCAAGGCUCUUUGACUGGGAUUGUCAUUCUAGAAACACAUAAUUAAGUGUCCUAAUAUAUUUAGAGAUCCUCCUUGCAGCUGGAAAUUAGGUGGUUCAGGAUUAGGAAAGGAUUAAGACAAAAUAAGGUAACUUUGGCUAACAUUCCUUCUUUCUCGCUAAGCUUCCUUAUCUUCCUUGUUUUGAAUUUAUUUCCUUCAUCUCUUCAUCACAUUCCUAGCCUUUUUUGAUCUUCAAAUUCGUCCAUCCACCUUGCUCCAACCAUGUGUUAUCCAUUCCAAGCCCAAAACUGCUCCAAAAGGCACCAAAAUGCACUUUCUUUCUACUUUAGCCCUUUGAACCUACAAACACACGAAAAUAGCUUAAAAUGCUAAAAUAACUAGGAACUAACAACAUAAAUGCAAGAAAACAAGCUAACUAAGUCGCAUAAAUAUGCUCCUAUCAAUAGGGUAGU